UACGUAGGGUGCAAGCGUUAAUCGGAAUUACUGGGCGUAAAGCGUGCGCAGGCGGUUCUAUAAGACAGAUGUGAAAUCCCCGGGCUCAACCUGGGAACUGCAUUUGUGACUGUAGAGCUGGAGGGCGGCAGAGGGGGAUGGAAUUCCGCGUGUAGCAGUGAAAUGCGUAGAUAUGCGGAGGAACACCGAUGGCGAAGGCAAUCCCCUGGGCCUGCACUGACGCUCAUGCACGAAAGCGUGGGGAGCAAACAGG
rnacentral:rRNA from 1 species